rnacentral:tRNA from 1 species
GCCGGCAUAGCUCAGUAGGCAGAGCGUUCGCCUUGUAAGCGAAAUGUCGUCGGUUCGAUUCCGACUGCCGGCU